CUGGCAUGUUGGCUCAGAUGGUUCUGCUCCCGCAAGCCCCCAGCUUUAUACCUUGGUUCAUGUUCCUGUGGCGGCUUUGGAUCGUCCUGGUCGUAGAAGCGGAAAUAGGGAGCAUCGAUACAGAUCCCUUCGCUUUUGUGGAGUGGAAGAUGGGUUAGUAGGAGUGUGAAGCUGCUCCGGUCUUCGACUGGCUUGGAUCGUCGCUGGAUCACGUCAUUGAUGAACUUGUACGUGUGUUGCUGAAUGGAUGGGUGAAGGGCCGGAGUAUCCAAUAAGAGGCUGUUGAGUACAAUAACGUGUAUUGAGGGGGU
rnacentral:sRNA from 2 species